rnacentral:pre_miRNA from 1 species
UCCCAAAAUUCUUGUCUUAGAUUUGUCUAGAUACGGAUGUAUCAAGUCACAUUUUAGUAUUAGAUACAUCCAUAUCUAGACAAAUCUAAGACAAGAAAUUUGGGA